GCCUCCUGUGCAUGACAUGGGUGUUGGCCCCUCCCGGGCAGCAGGAUGGCUGCUGAUGCCCUGUCACCCCAGACCUGGGCUCACCUGGGCCGAGGCCCUGAAGAGGCAUUUAACACAGUCGGGGUGAUUUCAAUAGACAGCCAGGAUUCAUUUCCAGCAAACAGAUGUGUGUGGUUUCAAGCAAGGUGGAACCAAUUGCAGUCGGCUUGAUAGAGAAAGGCAGGUGAUGACAGUGAAUCGUUGGCCAGCCAGUGCUUCCGACGCCACCUCCACGACCAGCACCACUCACCCAAAGCGGACCACGCAUGGGAAGAGCCUGUGCACGAACGGAGUACUGCAGGCACAGAGCGGCGCAGCCAGCUGAGUGUUCUCCAAGCCACCGUCAAAG
rnacentral:lncRNA from 1 species